GUUGUAAGUUACCUGAUAUAGUACAAAACAUAUUUUCCAUAUGGCAACACUGCAAGAUAAUAUUAAAUAUUAAAGUCAAGAAAUAAACAAAAAUUUAUAUAAAAUUUCUAUUAUUUUAUCGAUUAUUAGUUAACUUUUCACCUGGAAUUUGUUUUCAACUUUGAUGCCUGCAAAGGAUCCCUGCAAGCCAUUCGCAUGUAAAAUUCAAGAGUGUUUGAAAAAAAAUGGUUUCCAAGAACCUUCUUGUCAGGAAGCGAUAGAAAGCAUGAAGGAAUGUUGUAGAACCUGGAAGGACAAAAGUUUUGUUUGUGGUGGUAUAGAUACUGACAAAAAAAUUAAUGAUCCAAAGACACCUUAAUUUAAUGACAUUUGUAAGACUUACUGGAAAUACCUGGGGCUAUCUGUUGGAACAUUACAAUUCAUGACUUGUUUUGGAGAUCAUGUAGAACUUAUAAAACUACAAACAUUAAGUAUGGAAUCUGUGAAUAAGGCUAAGCAGGGAUACAGACAAUAUCUUAUCAUUUUAGCUAAGUGCAGUAGUGAUACAAAAAAUAUGCAAUAUGUGUUUUGAAAAAGAGAGAAUAUAUAUAUUUGAACGACUGUACUGAAGAAUUCAGUCAGUUCAAAAAUUACUUACAAAAUUAGUGAAAACUAAACUUUAGAAUCAAUAAAUUUAUACUAUUGAAAAAAUUUAAAUCUUUGUUACUGAAGUAUUUUUUGUAAUCAGAUCCUUACUGGGAGUGAAUCGAAUUAAAACUUAAUGAAUGAUAUUAAAUGUAAUUGUUUUUUGCAAGCCACUAUUUCAGCAAAAUAUCACCAAAUGACUGCAUUUCUGAUUCCAAACUUUUUCAUACAUUAAUGUUUUCACUAAUUAAUACAGUUUAUUGUAUGAUUUUCACUAUUUUAUAUUUUCAUUAAUUAGUUUUAAUAUGGAUUUUCAUCAAGUAUCGGCCAUUUCUAUUCAAUCAGUGUUUCCAGUCAACUUCUCUAAAGUAGAUAGUGUAUUUUUUCUACUUGUCAAUAAUAUACCUAAUUUCUUGACUAAAUAUCCCUGAAACUAGCAACUUUUUCAAAGAUUGUUUGACAUCAAAAUGAUGACGUUCCUAUUGAAAUUUCGUUUCAGUGGCGGCAGAAUAAUUUCUGAAACCGCUUUCAAACCCAUACCGAAUAGAAUAGAUUGUUUUUUGAGUGUAUUUAUUAAUUUAAUUGUUUCUAUGAACACACAGAGUCCAUUUGUGAGAUCUAUGAAGCAUAAAUUGCAGAAACGAAAACCACGUCCUCAAUCAACUAUCACUUGUGUCAUUUAAUGAAUCUUGAAAUGUACUGAAAAAUAAUUGAUAAAACAACAGAAGUGUAAGUUUUUAGGGGGAAGUAAUUAUCCUUAAUUAAAGGUAUGCUCAUAUAUAACCCAUAUAUGCAAGUAGCUGAAAUUGUCAGAAAUUUAACAAAUAUGUAAAAAAUACCUUCAGAGGAAGUUUUGGUUUCAGUAGAAACAAAACCGAAAAUUUGAUUAGAGUUUCUACAAGACGCUAGAAUCUUUAUCAUGAAAUUGUGUAAAAAUAGGUUUGGAUCUUUUUUGUAGAAACUACUACUUUGAAAAAAUCGACAUUCAAUUCUUAAUAAAUAUUUAUUAAAAUAUCAAUGUAAGUUUUCAAUGGUUUGCAAGGUUUCUUCUCAUUAUAUCAUAACUUUGAAAGUUUUGCAGUCUUCAGGAGAUGAAGUAUACUACAGCUUGUCAAAUGUAGGAAGAGCUUUCUGAAUUACAUUUUGGUCCCACCCACUAGAUCUGCGUUCGUUAGAAGACGGUGAGAGUGGGAGAGAAAGAUUUCUCAAGUCUCUUCUUAGAUUUGACAAGCUGUAAUUGGAAUAUAUUAUAUGCUAGAGGUUCCAGUUCAAUCUUUUAUUUCACGUUACUCAUUGAAAGGAGCAAAAAUGAAAAUAGUUACUAAAAAAUAAUCUUUUCAUUAAGGAGUAUACAUGCAAAACUCAAGCCUAAAAUAUUACAACCCAUCCUACUCUGGACAUCAACUAAUAUUUUUAAUGUCAAUUGGUAGUUUUUCAUUAUUUUCUUUAUGUAAUAUUGGAUAAUAGGAGUGUGUCCUGAA
rnacentral:lncRNA from 1 species